UACGUAGGCAGCGAGCGUUGUUCGGAGUUACUGGGCGUAAAGCGUGCGUAGGCGGUGUCUUAAGUUUGUUGUGAAAUCUCCCGGCUUAACCGGGAGGGUGCGGCGAAUACUGAGAUGCUGGAGUGCCGGAGAGGUAAGCGGAAUUCCUGGUGUAGCGGUGAAAUGCGUAGAUAUCAGGAGGAACACCUGCGGUGUAGACGGCUUACUGGACGGUAACUGGACGCUGAGGCACGAAAG
rnacentral:rRNA from 1 species